AUAGCUAUCACUCGCCGCGGGCUGUGCGAGCCCCGCCCCCUACCAGGAGCCGUAUUUCCGGGUUGGGGCCCGGCGCGCCUGUAGAGGGAGGCCGAGCGAGCCAAUCCGAGGUGACGAGGAGGGGCCGGGUCGGGAGCGCCGAGCUGUCAACCGCGUUCCAGGUCAGGUAAACUGAGGCUCAGUUGCCAGCUGCCCAAGGUCACGCCUGGGGCAGCAGCAGGGAUGAACUCGAACCUACUGCCUGGACGACUUGAAUUUGAUUCACGGGUCACGGCGAGAUCUCACUAUCGAGACCUGACUGGCCUCAUACUUGCGGCAAUCCUGUCUCAGCCUCCCAGCUGCUGAAAUGACAGGAGUGAGGAGGACUUGUCUGCAAAGCAGGCACCUUACUGCGUCAUCUCUACAGGCCUUCUCCAUUUUUUUUUCAGUGUUUGGAAUGAACUCAAGACCUCACACAUGCUAGAUUAUCUCUAAAUUAAAGGUUUCUAAAUACACCCA